AAAACUGUUGUUGCACUGGUGCGGCCGUGAAGGCAACGUUGUGUGGCAUCCAUGCCCACAACGCCCCACCGGCAACUUCAGACAAU
rnacentral:snoRNA from 1 species